CCUCAAUCUGAUGUGUGUUCAAUCCACUCCAAGACACGUGGAUUGAGGUGGAUAUGAGUGCAGUCAAGCCCUAGAGAGGUUUUUUCACAUGGGAUUUUCGACAUCAUCCAAGAAUUCAGGCCACUAGAUUCCUCAAAAGAAAUUUCAGGCCACUAGAAAUCUUAGUUCGACAGAACCAAGACCAGAUAUAAAUAGUGAGAGACAGAUUGUAUGCCACGAUGAUCAUUUUGCAGCAAUCCUGACCAAUGAUCAACCUUCCUAAAUUGCUAUCC
rnacentral:lncRNA from 1 species